CAGCUUCAGAAACUCCUCAAAAGGACGAUCCGGUCUAUGACCAUGUUCACCGCUCUGCGUUAUACCAGCACAAGAUUCCAAGAAAUGAAGAGGGGGAAAAACUUUCAUGCCAAAAGUAUUUGAAAGAACACCUUCCCACACCCUUCCCCCACCAACAAAUAGAAAAAGGCCACUCAUGUGCAGAACUCAGAGACUGGAGAAGAGCCAAACGGUAUUCCAAGUUCAUCCUUCUCAAACGUCACAAACGAACAGUAGCCAUCCGUGGAGGAAAUGGC